CAACUUGGAGGCUGGGACACUUUCUCCUAGGUCAAAAGUAUACGCAUCAACAAAGCACAUGCCCAUCAGUAUGAUGUAUGGAAGGGAGGCUGUUUUCCCAUCAGACGUUUCUGUGGAUGUGCCGCUAUCCAUCCACUCCCUAACGAAGAUGAUUUUGAGAUGUUUAUGGAAAAGAGAAAGGAGCACAUGGAUAACGUGCACGCCAGUGCCCAGAGCAACAUCUCUCAGGCACACGAAAAACAGAGGCUUACGUAUGAGAGGAAAAUCUUUAAAAAGUACAUAGGAGUAUCCUAUAGUGUUGGACAAGAGCUGAUUCUAUUCAACAUGAGGAAGCGGGGGAGAAAAGGAGGACGGAUUGAGCCAGACUUCAUUGGGCCUUACAAAAUAGGGGAAAUAAACGGCAAAACUGUCUCAUUA